rnacentral:lncRNA from 1 species
AGUUAGACUUGUUGUAUGCACAGCCUGGGAGUAAGGGACCCUUAACAGCAGGAGGAAAAGGACAUGGGGGGUGGGGAGCAUCUCUAAACUCGCCUAAAUAUGCAUCUAGAAAAUCAAAUGCACAAAGCAGAGGCUGAGGGAUUGCUGACAGGGAAACCCAGGCCCAGAGUGGAGAGCUGGUUUGGUGGACAACGCCAGCUAGUCAGAAGAAAGUGUGACCAGAGACUUUGAGGAGGCAUGUGCAUGGGAAAUCAGGGAAGAUGUGAUGAUGGAGAAGAAAGAGCACAUUGAAUUAAGAAGAUUCUGCUUCCCACCAGCCAUGUGAUUGUAGACCAUCUAUUUCAGCUUUCCAAAACACCAUUAUAUGACCUGUACCACAGGGACUAUAUUAUGGGGAUUAAAUGAUAU